GACGAACGCUGGCGGCGUGCUUAACACAUGCAAGUCGUACGGUAAGGCCCUUUCGGGGGUACACGAGUGGCGAACGGGUGAGUAACACGUGAGUAACCUGCCCACAACUUUGGGAUAACGCUAGGAAACUGGUGCUAAUACUGGAUAUGUGCUCCUGCUGCAUGGUGGGGGUUGGAAAGCUCCGGCGGUUGUGGAUGGACUCGCGGCCUAUCAGCUUGUUGGUGGGGUAGUGGCCUACCAAGGCGGCGACGGGUAGCCGGCCUGAGAGGGUGACCGGCCACAUUGGGACUGAGAUACGGCCCAGACUCCUACGGGAGGCAGCAGUGGGGAAUAUUGCACAAUGGGCGCAAGCCUGAUGCAGCAACGCCGCGUGCGGGAUGACGGCCUUCGGGUUGUAAACCGCUUUCAGCAGGGACGAAGCUUUUUGUGACGGUACCUGCAGAAGAAGCACCGGCUAACUACAUG
rnacentral:rRNA from 1 species